rnacentral:rRNA from 1 species
UGCUAAUACCGCAUAUGUCAUAGCGACGAUGUCGCAUUGAUGAAAGGUGGGGACCUUCGGGCCCAUCGCUGGAGGAUUGGUUCGCGCCCCAUUAGCUUGUUGGUGAGGUAACGGCUCACCAAGGCGACGAUGGGUAGCCGGCCUGAGAGGGUGACCGGCCACACUGGGAUUGAGAUACGGCCCAGACUCCUUCGGGAGGCAGCAGUCGAGAAUCUUCGCGAUUUAGCGCAAGCUAGAGCGAGUGACGCCGCGUGUGGGAAGAAUGCCUUAUGGGUUGUAAACCACUGUCAGGAGGGAAGAAUAGCGGGUAGUCUAAUAGGCUGCCCGUGUGACGUUACCUCCAGAGGAAGCUCCGGCUAACUCCGUGCCAGCAGCCGCGGUAAUACGGGGGGAGCAAGCGUUGUCCGGAAUCAUUGGGCGUAAAGGGCACGUAGGCGGACUGGUAAGUCGGAUGUGAAAUCCCACGGCUCAACUGUGGAACUGCGUUCGAAACUGCCUGUCUUGAGUACGCGAGAGGUAUGCGGAAUUCCUGGUGUAGCGGUGGAAUGCGUAGAUAUCAGGAAGAACACCGGUGGCGAAGGCGGGAUACUGGCGCGAUACUGACGCUGAGGUGCGAAAGCGUGGGGAGCAAACGGGAUUAGAUACCCCGGUAGUCCACGCCGUAAACGAUGGGCACUGGGUUUUGGAGGUCUCAACCCCUUCAGAGCCGUAGUUAACGCGUUAA